CUGACUAGAAUGAGAGAGAGAAAGCACUGGAGAUGAGAUCCCAGGAAAUAGAAACUCUAGUGUGUAAGACCUUGUAGGCCACUCUGAGGCCGUUGUGAGGACUUUGGAUAAAAUUUCCACAGGACUGAGAACAAUCUAGAUAGAAGGAAAGGCAAGAACAAAGAUGAAGAAGCAAGGGAAAAAUCAUCUACGGAUGCUACACACAUGGGGUCGAGGCCAAGUCUGAUAAGAAACAGAAUAUUUAAUCACUAUCAAAGUUUCUCUUCAUAACGUGUGCAUUAGUUGCAAAAGGAAAACCAAUUAUACCCUGGAGGAAUAGAAGAACAUGUUAAGCAAGUGAUCAAACUUCUGGGAGACCUUUUCUAUCUGGUAGAUUGGAUGCUGCCCGAUUCAGGAAUUGCUGAAUAAAAGCCAGAAGAUCAGUAAAUUAUGGACAUUUUUCUUUUAACAGGAGGGUAAGGGGUUUUAGAAUGUGAGAAAUAUAGUGAGUAAAAAAAUGGAAGUUAUUACUGUGAAUUAUGGAUAUCGGAUUUCUUUGUUGCUUGAUUGGAAUUACUAUCAACUGUGGUGUCUAAAUGGGGUGUCUCUAGAUCAGCCAAUCCCGUGGAAGCUGGUGGGGCACAGGCUGCAGGAGGUGAAAGAAUUCUAGUGAGGCAGAACAAAAGAGAUAGAAAUUUGGGAGUGGCAGGCAGGACAGCAGAGGAGAGACUGUCGGCCAUGGGGCAGUGGGUGGGGGCUGCUUUCAAGGGGGAAGCUGAGGAUGGUGAUGUAUGGAAUUUUUUUUUGGUAACUGUGCUGAGUUGUAAAUAGCCCAUUGGUUAGUUAGGGCCUAUGGAUAUUUUGAGGUGGGUCACCUUAUGGGCCUGUCUGUAUUCCAUUGCUCAAACCUUUUAACCACCUGUUUGUCUCAAAGCAGCCUCUACAUCAACUACUUUUGGUUAUUGAAUUAUUCCUUUAUAACUGGAACCCCACACAUAUUGAAUCAUGUAGAGCUUUACUUCACAUAAACAUAAACCAGAGUUUUACUUUACAUAAAUCAGCUAGGAGAGUUAAUUGAAGGUAUUUGAAUAACACUUCCACUAAUUUCCUUGACAAUAUCCCUCCCUGCCCCUCCAACCCCAGGCUUUGAUAAAACCUACUCUUAAGAAUUCUUACCAAAUGACCACUCUCCAAUUCUUUAUUCAAGGAAGAUUUGGGGACCUUGUUCACACGCUUCUAUACCAAAUUCAUGCCAUAAUCCUGGAUUUCAAUAGCCACAGUACAUGGCUCAUCCAACAGGAUAGCUUUGUGAUUAGGGUAUCUAUUUAAUUCCAGUGACCUUCACCUAGAUUCAGUGAUGUGUUGUCGAAGCCAGUUCAUUCCAGCUCUUGAGAGCUGAUUGUUCACAUCUCUUUCUAGUUCUGCACUCAGUAACAUGUUGGUAACUUGAAAUCACCUUGGUGGCAGUAUUUACAUGAUUAAAAUCAACAAAUGCUACAAAUCAGGGAUUUUUUUAAUU